rnacentral:rRNA from 1 species
CCCUUAGAUGUUCUGGGCUGCACGCGCGUUACACUGAUGCAUUCAACGAGCUUAUAACCUUGGCCGAGAGGCCUGGGCAAUCUUGUUAACGUGCAUCGUGAUAGGGAUAGAUUAUUGAAAUUAUUAAUCUUGAACGAGGAAUUCCUAGUAAACGCAGAUCAUCAAUCUGCAUUGAUUACGUCCCUGCCCUUUGCACACACCGCCCGUCGCACCUACCGAUUGGAUGGUCCGGUGAAGCCUCGGGAUUGUGGUUCUUGCCGCUUUAUUGUGGCGUGACCGCGAGAACUUGUCUAAACCUUAUCAUCUAGAGGAAGGUGAAGUCGUAACA